AUCGCUUCUCGGCCUUUUGGCUAAGAUCAAGUGUAGUAUCUGCUCUUAUCAGUUUAAUAUCUGAUACAAACUCUAUCUGCGGGCAAUAUAUUAAAUGGAUUUUUGGAACUAGGAGUUGGAAUAGGAGCUUGCUCCGUCCAUUCCAUGCAUCAUCGACUUGGUAUUGCAGUACUUCCAGGAAUGGUGCACCCCU
rnacentral:snRNA from 1 species